UACAAUAGCUGUGCCAAGACCUGAAAGCUCUUCAUUUCCUGUGUCGCUGAUCGUUGGGCCAGUUUGUGGAAUAGUAUUGAUCGUUCUCCUGCUGCUGUUGUUUCACUACAGAAAUUCAACAGAUCCAUGUUGUAACAGACUCACUCAGACUCAAAGAGAGA